UACGUGAGUGUACUGGUUAAAUUGCAGACAUAUUGGCCCAGAACCUUUAAUCGAGCCGGAAAAGAGGCUGCUGUAUGUUUGCUCUCUAUAAUUUUGCGGGGGCGGUCACCCCCAUGCGGAAAGCCACUGCCAUCACAGGGUGGUUAGUUGUGCAGGCCCUUAGCCGCGAGGUGCAAGCAUGUCCGUGGAAAGGCUAGAAAUUAAUAGGGAG